UUUCGGGGUGGAUUAGUGGCGAACGGGUGAGUAACACGUGGGCAAUCUGCCCUUCACUCUGGGACAAGCCCUGGAAACGGGGUCUAAUACCGGAUAACACUCUGUCCCGCAUGGGACGGGGUUAAAAGCUCCGGCGGUGAAGGAUGAGCCCGCGGCCUAUCAGCUUGUUGGUGGGGUAAUGGCCUACCAAGGCGACGACGGGUAGCCGGCCUGAGAGGGCGACCGGCCACACUGGGACUGAGACACGGCCCAGACUCCUACGGGAGGCAGCAGUGGGGAAUAUUGCACAAUGGGCGAAAGCCUGAUGCAGCGACGCCGCGUGAGGGAUGACGGCCUUCGGGUUGUAAACCUCUUUCAGCAGGGAAGAAGCGAAAGUGACGGUACCUGCAGAAGAAGCGCCGGCUAACUACGUGCCAGCAGCCGCGGUAAUACGUAGGGCGCAAGCGUUGUCCGGAAUUAUUGGGCGUAAAGAGCUCGUAGGCGGCUUGUCACGUCGGAUGUGAAAGCCCGGGGCUUAACCCCGGGUCUGCAUUCGAUACGGGCUAGCUAGAGUGUGGUAGGGGAGAUCGGAAUUCCUGGUGUAGCGGUGAAAUGCGCAGAUAUCAGGAGGAACACCGGUGGCGAAGGCGGAUCUCUGGGCCAUUACUGACGCUGAGGAGCGAAAGCGUGGGGAGCGAACAGGAUUAGAUACCCUGGUAGUCCACGCCGUAAACGU
rnacentral:rRNA from 1 species